rnacentral:rRNA from 1 species
UAAGGAAUAUUGGUCAAUGGACGCAAGUCUGAACCAGCCAUGCCGCGUGCAGGAUGACGGCCCUAUGGGUUGUAAACUGCUUUUGUACCAGAGAAAACCCCGAUACGUGUAUCGGGUUGAUAGUAUGGUAAGAAUAAGCAUCGGCUAACUUCGUGCCAGCAGCCGCGGUAAGACGAAGGGUGCAAGCGUUAUCCGGAUUUACUGGGUUUAAAGGGUGUGUAGGCGGAUUAUUAAGUCAGCGGUGAAAUCUCCAGGCUCAACCUGGAAACUGCCAUUGAUACUAUUAGUCUUGAAUAUUGUGGAGGUUAGCGGAAUAUGUCAUGUAGCGGUGAAAUGCGUAGAGAUCGGGAGGAACACCAGUGGCGAAGGCGGCUACCUGGACCAGCACUGACACUGAGGCACGAAAGCGUGGGGAUCAAGCA